UUUAGCAGUUACUACUUACUACCUAGUUUCACUAUCACUCACUCUAAAUUCAAAUUUCAAAUUAGCAGACACACAGAAACAGUAACAUCAUCAUCAUCAUGGGUUGCGUGUCUUCAAAUCUGUUGAACCACGAAGACGAGUUAGGCCAACUCACCACCUCAGCACUCGGCCACCACAUCGUCUCUCUAACUUCCACCACUUAUGGCCUU
rnacentral:lncRNA from 1 species